AACGCUGUGUGAAGUAUGCAGUAUGAGUUUUUAGUUAAACAAUCGUUAAAACUUUCAACAACGGAUCUCUUGGUUCCGGCAUCGAUGAAGAACGCAGCGAAAUGCGAUAAUUAAUGUGAAUUGCAGAAUUCAGUGAAUCAUCGAGUCUUUGAACGCACAUUGCGCCCCCUGGUAUUCCGGGGGGCAUGCCUGUCCGAGCGUCAUUGCUGCCCUCAAGCACGGCUUGUGUGUUGGGCUUCCGUCCCUGGCAACGGGGACGGGCCCAAAAGGCAGUGGCGGCACCAUGUCUGGUCCUCGAGCGUAUGGCGGCUUUGUCACCCGCUCCCGUAGGUCCUAGCUGGCAGCUAGCCUCGCAACCAAUCUUUUUAACCAGGUUGACCUCGGAUCAGGUAGGAGCCCCGGCC
rnacentral:rRNA from 1 species